UUAGCAUUUGAAAGUCUGAGACAGUGUC
rnacentral:piRNA from 1 species